rnacentral:rRNA from 1 species
UACUAGAGUAGCACUCGCAUAUCAAUAAGCGGAGGAAAAGAAACUAACAAGGAUUCCCUAGUAACGGCGAGUGAAGCGGGAAGAGCUCAAAUUUGAAAUCUUCAAGGGUUUUCCCUUGACGAAUUGUAGUUUAAAGAAGUGUUUUCUGUUAGAGAGUUUGGUAAAAGUUCUUUGGAAUAGGACAUCAUAGAGGGUGAGAAUCCCGUAUUUGAUCACUUUCUAGCUGUUGUGAUACACUUUCAAAGAGUCGGAUUGUUUGGGAAUGCAGUCCAAAAUGGGUGGUAAAUUUCAUCUAAAGCUAAAUAUUGGCGAGAGACCGAUAGCGAACAAGUACCGUGAGGGAAAGAUGAAAAGAACUUUGAAAAGAGAGUUAAACAGUACGUGAAAUUGUCAAAAGGGAAGCGUUUGACACCAGUGUUGUUUUUCCGAAAAUCAAUUAUGAAUGGCUUGAUUUUAAGUUUCAUGACCUUAAAAGCUUGUUUCUUAUUUUUCAUGUCUUUCGUAAUGCACUUUUCGGUUAACAAGUCAACAUCAAUUUCUUUUGUUGUAAAAGGUUAAGAGGAAGGUGGCUUUACUUUCGGGUAAAGUGUUUAUAGCCUUUUAAACUCUGCAAUCGGAGAGAUUGAGGUCUGCAGCGUAGAUCCUUCGGGGUUAGAUACAUUUGUGCUAAGUUAUAGCUUUUCAUAGACAACUUGUUGACUAUGUUAAGUCUUGUAAUUUACUCGCAGAUGCUAUUUUACCUACGCUUAGGAUGUUGAUAGUCACAGCGUGUAC